UUCUCGGCGGGGACCCGGGUACCCCUGGUGGGUGUGCUCGGGCCCGGCCAUCCUUCUGUCAACUUUCGCGCGUCCUUCACCGGUCGGCAAAGGGAUCAGAUAAUUUACCUUGAGAAAAUUAGAGUGUUUCAGGCAGGCUUAGCCGGAAUACAUUAGCAUGGAAUAAUGGAAUAGGACUGAGGUCUCGUUGUUGGUUACGCGGACUACAGUAAUGAUUAAUAGGGACAGUUGGGGGCAUUAGUAUUUAUUAGCUAGAGGUGGAAUUCUCUAAUUUGAUAAAGACUAACUUAUGCGAAAGCAUUUGCCAAGGAUGUUUUCAUUAAUCAAGAACGAAAGUUAGGGGAUCAAAGACGAUCAGAUACCGUCCUAGUCUUAACCAUAAACUAUGCCGACUCGGGAUCGGGAGCGUGUGUUAUCCGCUUUCGGCACCGUAUGAGAAAUCAAAGUCUUUGCGUUCUGGGGGGAGUAUGGUCGCAAG
rnacentral:rRNA from 1 species